rnacentral:lncRNA from 1 species
AAACAACAACAACAACAACAACAACAACCUCAACAACAACAACAACAACAACAAUGACCACAACAACAAUAACCACCACCACCACAACAACAACAACUAUAACAACAACAACAACAACANNNNNNNNNNCACAAGAACAACGACGACGACGACGUUGACGAUGACGACGUUGACGACGACGACAACAACAAUGAAAACGACGACAAGAAUGACAAUGAUGAGAACAACGAGAACAACGACAACAACAACGACAACAGCGAGAACAACGACAACCACAAAAAAAAUGAAUACG